rnacentral:rRNA from 1 species
CAACUCGACUCCAUGAAGCUGGAUUCGCUAGUAAUCGCGCAUCAGCCAUGGCGCGGUGAAUACGUUCCCGGGCCUUGUACACACCGCCCGUCAAGCCAUGGGAGUCGGGAGUGCCUGAAGUUCGAGACCGUCACAGGAGCGACCUAAGGCAAGACCGAUGACUGGGGCUAAGUCGUAACAAGGUAAC